GACGAACGCUGGCGGCGUGCUUAACACAUGCAAGUCGAACGAAGUGGCGAACGGGUGAGUAACGCGUAAUCAACCUGCCCUUCCGAGGGGGACAACAGUUGGACACGACUGCUAAUACCGCAUACUGAAGGAGGGGAUUGCAUCGGAUUAGCUAGUUGGGGGGGUAACGGCCCACCAAGGCGAUGAUCAGUAGCCGGGCUGGGAGGAUGAACGGCCACAUUUGGACCGGGACACGGCCCAGACUCCUACGGGAGGCAGCAGUGGGGAAUCUUCCGCAAUGGACGAAAGUCUGACGGAGCAACGCCGCGUGAGUGAUGACGGCCUUCGGGUUGUAAAGGUCUGUUAAUCGGGACGCGGUACCGGAAUAGAAAGCCACGGCUAACUACGUGCCAGCAGCCGCGGUAAUAC
rnacentral:rRNA from 1 species